UACGGAAGAUCCGAGCGUUAUCCGGAAUUACUGGGCGUAAAGAGUUGCGUAGGUGGCAUGUAAAGCGAGCAGUGAAAGACUCCGGCUCAACUGGAGGCACAUUGUUCGAACUCACAAGCUAGAGCAUAGUAGAGGUACCUGGAAUUCCCAGUGUAGGAGUGAAAUCCGUAGAUAUUGGGAGGAACACCGAUGGCGUAGGCAGGGUACUGGGCUAUUGCUGACACUAAGGCACGAAAGCGUGGGGAGCGAACGGG
rnacentral:rRNA from 1 species